GAGCAGUUAAAAGGUUCUUCAGAGUCCCUUCUAUUUUUAUUUAUUUAUUUAUUUAGUGCCAGGGAUCGAACUCAGGUCCUUGGGCUUGUGAGGCAGGCGGCGGAACCACUGAGCUAAAUCCCCCAGAGUCCCUUCUUAUGACCUUGUGUUUCUAUAAUAAUUUAUUCGGUUCUGUUUAAAUACCAAAUAAGAAGUGAUGUUACUUUAAACUGUAAUUAUUCUAAUCAUAUUAUUUCAUGGAUAUUGCAUCUUUAAUUCAUAAACAGGUUGAAUCAUUUAUUUUGGACCAAGAAGAUCUGGAUAACCCGGUGCUUAAAACAACAUCAGAGAUAUUCUUAUCAAGUACUGCAGAAGGAGCAGACUUACGCACUGUGGAUCCAGAGACACAGGCACGACUAGAAGCAUUGCUGGAAGCAGCAGGAAUCGGCAAAUUGUCAACCCCUGAUGGUAAAGCUUUUGCAGAUCCUGAGGUCCUCCGGAGACUGACCUCCUCAGUUAGUUGUGCACUGGAUGAAGCUGCUGCUGCACUGACACGGAUGAGAGCAGAAAACAGCCACAAUGCAGGACAAGUGGACACUCGCAGUCUAGCAGAAGCUUGUUCAGAUGGAGAUGUGAAUGCUGUUCGUAAAUUGCUAGAUGAAGGCAGAAGUGUAAAUGAACAUACAGAAGAAGGAGAAAGCCUUCUGUGCUUGGCUUUAUUAUGAAUUAGCACAAGUAAGCAAAACAUUUUUAGUGAUUAAAAUUGUGGAAAAGUUUUUGUUUUACUUUUAUUAUUUAUAAAAUAGAAUGGCUUGGGAUUUAGCUCAGUGGCACUGCGUCUGCCUUGCAAGCGCAAGGUCCUGAGUUCGAUCUCUAGUACUAAAAAAAAAAAGUAACUUUUAUUAUUUAUAAAAUAGAAAAAGAUACAGUUUAUUUUGUUGCCUGUAAUGCAGCUGGACAUGGUUCAUUGUUCUAUCACUCAAAACUAAUCCUGAUGAAUAAGAAAUAGAAAUAAUAAUCAUUUUAAACUUGUCUUUAGAAAUAGUACA
rnacentral:lncRNA from 1 species